AACGAACGUUGGCGGCGUGGAUUAGGCAUGCAAGUCGAACGCGAAAGGGUAGCAAUACCCGAGUAAAGUGGCGAACGGGUGAGUAACGCGUAGGAAACCUGCCUUCGAGUGGGGGAUAACAUUCCUAACGGGGUGCUAAUACCGCAUGAAACUGCGGGAUCGCAUGGUUCUGCAGUCAAAGGUGGCCUCUAUUUAUAAGCUACCGCUCAAAGAUGGUCCUGCGUCCCAUUAGCUAGNGGCGGGGUAACGGCCCACCAAGGCAUCGAUGGGUAGCCGAUCUGAGAGGAUGACCGGCCACACUGGGACUGAGAUACGGCCCAGACUCCUACGGGAGGCAGCAGUCGAGAGGCUUCGGCAAUGGGGGAAACCCUGACCGAGCGACGCCGCGUGGAGGAUGAAGGCCCUUGGGUGUAAACUCCUGUCAUGUGGGAAGAAACCUCACGGUUCGAAUAGGGCCGUGACUUGACGGUACCACAAGAGGAAGCUCCGGCUAACUCCGUGCCAGCCGCCGCCGU
rnacentral:rRNA from 1 species